CGCCGAAAGACCAAGGGUUCCUGCGCAACGUUAAUCGACGCAGGGUUAGUCGGUUCCUAAGGCGAGGCUGAAAAGCGUAGUCGAUGGGAAACAGGUUAAUAUUCCUGUACUUCUGGUUACUGCGAUGGAGGGACGGAGAAGGCUAGGCCAGCUUGGCGUUGGUUGUCCAAGUUUAAGGUGGUAGGCUGAAAUCUUAGGUAAAUCCGGGGUUUCAAGGCCGAGAGCUGAUGACGAGUCGUCUUUUAGAUGACGAAGUGGUUGAUGCCAUGCUUCCAAGAAAAGCUUCUAAGCUUCAGGUAACCAGGAACCGUACCCCAAACCGACACAGGUGGUCGGGUAGAGAAUACCAAGGCGCUUGAGAGAACUCGGGUGAAGGAACUAGGCAAAAUGGCACCGUAACUUCGGGAGAAGGUGCGCCGGCUAGGGUGAAGGAUUUACUCCGUAAGCUCUGGCUGGUCGAAGAUACCAGGCCGCUGCGACUGUUUAUUAAAAACACAGCACUCUGCAAACACGAAAGUGGACGUAUAGGGUGUGACGCCUGCCCGGUGCCGGAAGGUUAAUUGAUGGGGUUAGCGCAAGCGAAGCUCUUGAUCGAAGCCCCGGUAAACGGCGGCCGUAACAAUAACGGUCCUAAGGUAGCGAAAUUCCUUGUCGGGUAAGUUCCGACCUGCACGAAUGGCGUAACGAUGGCGGCUCUGUCUCCACCCGAGACUCAGUGAAAUUGAAAUCGCUGUGAAGAUGCAGUGUAUCCGCGGCUAGACGGAAAGACCCCGUGAACCUUUACUGUAGCUUUGCACUGGACUUUGAGCCUGCUUGUGUAGGAUAGGUGGGAGGCUUUGAAGCGUGGACGCCAGUUCGCGUGGAGCCAUCCUUGAAAUACCACCCUGGCAUGCUUGAGGUUCUAACUCUGGUCCGUAAUCCGGAUCGAGGACAGUGUAUGGUGGGCAGUUUGACUGGGGCGGUCUCCUCCUAAAGAGUAACGGAGGAGUACGAAGGUGCGCUCAGACCGGUCGGAAAUCGGUCGCAGAGUAUAAAGGCAAAAGCGCGCUUGACUGCGAGACAGACACGUCGAGCAGGUACGAAAGUAGGUCUUAGCGAUCCGGUGGUUCUGUAUGGAAGGGCCAUCGCUCAACGGAUAAAAGGUACUCCGGGGAUAACAGGCUGAUACCGCCCAAGAGUUCAUAUCGACGGCGGUGUUUGGCACCUCGAUGUCGGCUCAUCACAUCCUGGGGCUGAAGCCGGUCCCAAGGGUAUGGCUGUUCGCCAUUUAAAGUGGUACGCGAGCUGGGUUUAGAACGUCGUGAGACAGUUCGGUCCCUAUCUGCCGUGGACGUUUGAGAUUUGAGAGGGGCUGCUCCUAGUACGAGAGGACCGGAGUGGACGAACCUCUGGUGUUCCGGUUGUCACGCCAGUGGCAUUGCCGGGUAGCUAUGUUCGGAAAAGAUAACCGCUGAAAGCAUCUAAGCGGGAAACUUGCCUCAAGAUGAGAUCUCACUGGGAACUUGAUUCCCCUGAAGGACCGUCGAAGACUACGACGUUGAUAGGCUGGGUGUGUAAGCGUUGUGAGGCGUUGAGCUAACCAGUACUAAUUGCCCGUGAGGCUUGACCAA
rnacentral:rRNA from 1 species